ACUCUGCCACGUCAUCACAGUAAGGACGAUCGAUAUAUAUGUAGGUAAGCACAAGCGAUUUGCAGUGGAAUCACCAGCUAUGGAAUGGCAUGUUUUGGUAAGCGAACGCUUUGCCUGUGCUUACAAUAACGUGCACACCGAAACAUAGGAGGGACCGAAACUCCUUGGCAGUACAAUAAUUAUGUUGCCUACAGAUAUCGGCGCCAUGAGACCAGGAUUACACUGACAAUCUGCCCUCAUGAAACUAUGGCCUCCUAGAAAUAAGAGCCAUCCAGGCAUACGCAAAAACCGAGUCAGUUCAAUAAUAGUGAUAGGGUUAAAUAAGAAGGGACAAAUGGAUACAGAAUAGUUGCCAACUCGGUCGUCAGCAUGGCAAACAAUUAUACCUGGCACCGAAGACCACUACUGAACACAGCCAACUUUUUCCUCUACUACAUUGCAGAUAGGCUCGGGCGCGCCUCCUGACAAAAUACCAUGAUCGCGAGUGCACGUCCAGCUAAGCACGAUAAACCAUAAGUUCACGACUCCGCACAGUAUCCAAGCUACCAAGCGCAGAAGGAAUAGGCUUCCGUCGGAGGGAAUGGGCACAAUACGUAAAAGUCGUUGGCCCGCAAAAACCGUCAAAAGCGCAAAACAUACUCAGUACGGGACAGGACAGCCCAUGCGCAUAGACGAACGUCGUGCAACAAGUUUAGGUCGCAAUACGAAACUAACAAUUCAGGCGGAUUGGACGGAACAGCCAGCGCGAAGCCACAGCUAACUUAAGAUUGGCUUAGUGAUCUGCCAACCCAGGCUAAAUUCGUCUACCUGCAAGCACCUAGGCAUCAGUGGUGGUCCGAGCAACAUCCAACCUUACCAUGGACAAGCAUCACACAUUCCAUUUCCAAAUGCAGUCGCGGCCUAAACCGGUAAGACCUCACAUCGCGUGCGAACUGCGUCUACCCCAGUCCUACAUCUCUGGACUACCCUUGCCGCAGUCAUCGGAACUAGUCUAUCUACUCUCAGGUUGUUAAAUACUGCUCCAACUUCUAGAGUCGCUUGUAAAACCAUGAACCUAAACAAUUGUCAACGCCUAAACUCAAGCGUGGGAGUCCACUUGCAUGUUAGCUACGCAGAGCGCGUGCACGUGCGAACAGAGCCUACGACACUAACAUGCGCAGAACUGGAGCAAUGGCAAUGUACUGCCUGCGUCCCCAAGCCUUUAAACUCUUAACCAAAACAUUUGCGGUCAUCCGUACAUGCUUUGCAAUGAAGCUCCCGUUCAUUUAGCCGCUGCCAAGCAUUUACCUAGCGAGCAGCAGUGGAUCUAGCCGCUCCUAGUGCACAAGGAUAAGACAUGGCUUUCCGGUGCCUUGCCCCGAGCGAAAGGGACAUACACUCCUGUCUCAAAACAGCCACCCGUCCAGUCGACUGGCGCCAAAGCAAGUGUGCGCUUUGACCAAAGAUGCUGGUUUACUGCGACAACACGCCACAAAUAACCUUUGGUCCUGCAUGACACCGUGGGCUCCACUUUGCUCCUACGGUAAGGUCAACUUGGGCCGUCCAAUAGCAAAACCAAACAUCUGCAACGUCAUUGUAGUUAGGUAAAGCUCUUGGAAAAACAUCAACGGAUAUCACUCAAGACCAUACAUCAACGAGCAACAAGCAACCAAGUGGCUUGGUGAUCUGUCAGGAACAUCGACCACACACGACUGUUGUGAAUAAGUCACGAAGGAAACCAGGUCCACAACAGUAAUAAUACGCGCCAUGCCGACAAACACGAACAAAAGAAAGAUGGCGAGGGGACCCGACAUAACAUCACCGCAGCACGGUGCGAUGCCUCCCUAUUCACCGUUAUCCAAAUACAUCAGCACUGCGUCUUUGCCUGCUUUCACAGCCGAUCUGCUGCCAGUUGGGCAAUUACCAAUCUUAAAAAACUCUCAAGACUUAGUUACAUCCGCUGAGACUGGCACGACGAGGCGCCAAUCGCUAAACCAUUCAACUUUGCUUAACCCUCUGGACCCGGUAGGUU
rnacentral:lncRNA from 1 species